rnacentral:rRNA from 1 species
UACGAAGGGGGCUAGCGUUGCUCGGAAUCACUGGGCGUAAAGCGUGCGUAGGCGGUUUGUUAAGUCUGUUGUGAAAUCCCCGGGCUCAACCUGGGAAUGGCAAUGGAUACUGGCAGGCUAGAGUGUGUCAGAGGAUGGUGGAAUUCCCGGUGUAGCGGUGAAAUGCGUAGAGAUCGGGAGGAACAUCAGUGGCGAAGGCGGCCAUCUGGGACAACACUGACGCUGAGGCACGAAAGCGUGGGGAGCAAACAGG